GGAUUGUGGCUCAGUGGUAGAGUGCUUGCCUCACAUGUGUGAGGCACUGGGUUCAAUCCCCAGCACCA
rnacentral:tRNA from 1 species